UAUAGAUGGAUCCGCGCUGCAUUAGCUAGUUGGUAAGGUAACGGCUUACCAAGGCAACGAUGCAUAGCCGACCUGAGAGGGUGAUCGGCCACACUGGAACUGAGACACGGUCCAGACUCCUACGGGAGGCAGCAGUAGGGAAUCUUCCGCAAUGGGCGAAAGCCUGACGGAGCAACGCCGCGUGAGUGAUGAAGGUCUUCGGAUCGUAAAACUCUGUUAUUAGGGAAGAACAUAUGUGUAAGUAACUGUGCACAUCUUGACGGUACCUAAUCAGAAAGCCACGGCUAACUACGUGCCAGCAGCCGCGGUAAUACGUAGGUGGCAAGCGUUAUCCGGAAUUAUUGGGCGUAAAGCGCGCGUAGGCGGUUUUUUAAGUCUGAUGUGAAAGCCCACGGCUCAACCGUGGAGGGUCAUUGGAAACUGGAAAACUUGAGUGCAGAAGAGGAAAGUGGAAUUCCAUGUGUAGCGGUGAAAUGCGCAGAGAUAUGGAGGAACACCAGUGGCGAAGGCGACUUUCUGGUCUGUAACUGACGCUGAUGUGCGAAAGCGUGGGGAUCAAACAGGAUUAGAUACC
rnacentral:rRNA from 1 species